AAAACAAUAAAGAAUCUCAAUAAUUUAGUCAAAUUCAGAUCAGAUUAUACACUCUAUAAGAAUCAUGCAACUUCUUCAUCAAUUUUGAUCCAAAAAAAUGGCAGCAGCAGGGAAUGCAUAUCUGGGUUCAUUGAAGCAGAGCUUCCAUGAAACAAGCAAAGAAAGAUUGUUACUACUCAGAAAAGGCUACUCAGACUUGAGUGUAGGUGGUGGUGGUGGUUUUACUGGAAACGAGAACUUUCUAGAACGUAUUCGUUAUCGAGUUUCUGAGUACUGUAACAAUGUCAAACAAGCUGCAAGUAAAGCAGUUAAAAUGGGUCGCAGUGAUCCGAGAAAGAUUAUCUUUUCUGCUAAAGUGGGUUUUGCUCUUGCCCUUGUUUCCAUUCUCAUUUUCUUCAAAGAACCCAUACCCUAUAUUGGUAGCCACUCCAUUUGGGCGAUUCUUACCGUUGUCGUCGUUUUUGAAUUCAGCAUAGGGGCGACGCUUAACAAAGGAUUUAACAGGGCUUUGGGGACAUUUUCUGCUGGAGGAUUAGCUUUGGGCAUUGCUGAACUGUCUCUUAUGGCUGGAGGAUUUCGAGAGAUUUUGAUUGUGAUCAGUGUAUUUAUUGCAGGAUUUUGUGCGACUUAUAUGAAAUUGUAUCCUCCACUGAAGGAGUAUGAAUAUGGAUUCCGGGUCUUCUUAUUGACAUAUUGUAUAGUGCUAGUAUCCGGGACUUCGGAUUUUGUAAAGACAGCUGUUUCUCGAUUGUUACUUAUUGGGGUUGGAGCUGCUGUUUGUUUGGUUAUUAAUAUAUGCAUCUUCCCCAUUUGGGCUGGUGAAGAUUUGCACAAAUUGGUGGUGAAAAACUUUAAGGGUGUCGCUACUUCUUUGGAAGGUUGUGUCAAUGACUAUUUGCAAUGUCUUGAAUACGAUAGGAUACCAUCAAAAAUUCUUCUUUACCAGGCAUCUGAUGAUCCUAUCUACAGUGGUUACAGGGCUGCUGUAGAGUCUACCAGCCAAGAAGCUUCUCUGUUAGCUUUUGCUGUGUGGGAACCCCCUCAUGGACGUUACAGAAUGCUCAAUUAUCCUUGGGCUGAAUAUACUAGAGUUAGUGGUGCACUACGGCAUUGUGCUUUCAUGAUAAUGGCAAUGCAUGGAUGUAUUCUUUCGGAAAUACAGGCAGCAUCUGAAUUAAGGCGGACUUUUAUGAAGGAGAUUCGGAGAGUUGGGACUGAAGGAGCUAAAGUGAUACGACUGCUUGGGGAGAAAGUUGAAAAGAUGGAGAAACUAAGCCCCGGAGAUCCUCUCAAAGAUGUUCAUGAAGCUGCUGAGGAUCUCCAAUUGUUGAUUGACCAAAAAUCUUAUCUUUUGGUUAAUGCAGAGAAUUGGGAAAGUUCAAAAAGACCUAAGAAGUUUGAAGAUCCUGAACGCCUACAAGAGCUUAAGGACAAUGAACCUAAACCAAUGGUAAUUAACUCCCUUAGUGAAGCAACUCUCCAUCUAAGGUCUGCUCACACAUUGAAACACAUGGAUACUCUUAAUCCAAAUGUAAGUGUCAACUUUUCUACUUCACAAUGGGGUUCCUCAGCAGAUGUAUUCGCGCAGCAGACAAUGUGGCCUUCACGGCUUUCACUUAUUGGAGAUGUGAUUUUAAAUGAACGUGAAGUACGGACUUUUGAAAGUGCUAGUACAUUAUCACUGGCAACAUUUACGUCCCUGUUGAUUGAGUUUGUUGCAAGACUUCAGAAUCUUCUACAUGCAUUUCAAGAGCUCAGUGAAAAGGCAAAAUUUAAGGAACCUGUAGAUACAAAAGAGGCAACUACUCUCUGAGGCAGGUUAUGUAACCGAUCCUGCUUUUAUUAUCGAGGGAACCUUUCUUUCUGCUAUUGACAAUCACAAAGUUGUUAUCAAUCAAAAACUUUCAUGUCAGGUUUUGGCUCUUGAGAUGAUUAUGUAUACUAUAACUAAGAACUGUAGAAAUGUCAAGAAAAGGUUUUUGUUCUGCAGCAUGUCUUCAGAGCUGUGAAUCCAAUAGAAAAAAAAUCUUCUUGACCCAAAAAGUGUAUUAGUGCAUGAAGAAGAGUAAAUUAUAAUAUUUGUACUUGUUUCUGAUGAAUCUGUAAAUUAUUCAAGAUCUUUAAAGGACAUUAGCUGGAUAUAUGGUCUUGUCA
rnacentral:misc_RNA from 1 species